rnacentral:lncRNA from 1 species
UAACAACCAGCAUGAAGAUAAGCAUGAGGAUAACAGGAUGCAAUUGCUUCUUCCCCAAGGACCAGUCCUCGGUCCAAGGCACUCUGCAGGACCAGUGUGUUCACCAUCUCUGCAGCCUCACAGGAGCUCUCUGAGGAUGGCAGGAAAACCAUCUCCAUCGACGAGUCUGACUGUUGAACCUGCUCCUGGACAAGGAGUGGGGAUUCCUCUGUCUAGCGCUCACCCUUCCACACUCCCCUGCACUGCUGUGUUCUAUGGUUUGGAUCUUCAAUGUCCUUAAAGGCCCUUAUAUGAAAAGGCUUGGUUCCCAGCGUGUGGCACUAUUCAGAGAGUGGCCUAGCGGAAGGAAGGGAGGUCACUGGGUUGUGCCCUCGAAGUGGAUCUUGGGACCACCAUCUCUUCUUUCUCUUUGCUUCCUGGCCUCUAUGAGGUAAGUAGCCUCCUGUACCACUCUUGUCAG